UGGGCGCAAGCCUGAUCCAGCCAUGCCGCGUGAAUGAUGAAGGCCUUAGGGUUGUAAAAUUCUUUCAGCAGGGAAGAUAAUGACGGUACCUGCAGAAGAAGCCCCGGCUAACUCCGUGCCAGCAGCCGCGGUAAUACGGAGGGGGCUAGCGUUGUUCGGAAUUACUGGGCGUAAAGCGCUCGUAGGCGGAUUGGUCAGUCAGGGGUGAAAGCCCGGAGCUCAACUCCGGAACUGCCUUUGAUACUGCCAGUCUUGAGUUCGGGAGAGGUGAGCGGAAUACCGAGUGUAGAGGUGAAAUUCGUAGAUAUUCGGUGGAACACCAGAGGCGAAGGCGGCUCACUGGACCGAUACUGACGCUGAGGAGCGAAAGCGUGGGGAGCAAACAGGAUUAGAUACCCUGGUAGUCCACGCCGUAAACGAUGAGAGCUAGUUGUCUGGCAGCAUGCUGUUAGGUGACGCAGCUAACGCAUUAAGCUCUCCGCCUGGGGAGUACGGCCGCAAGGUUAAAACUCAAA
rnacentral:rRNA from 1 species